UUUCCAACAUCGCUGAGUUUCCGAAAGGGAAACGGGGGAACCGCAUCGCGGUCGUCGGGUCAAGAGGCACCGGCGCCGGGAUGUUUUUUAAGGGGUGAAUCCUUGGCCGCAAUGCUACACAAAAGCGCAGAAGUGACGCUUUUGAUACAUUGUGUCUCGGGUAGGGCUGCUCUCAAGCCCGAAUCCGUCAGCUAACCUCGUAAGCGUUAUGAGAGAGGUAAC
rnacentral:sRNA from 2 species